GUCUGCAGCCACGCUACCAUGAACAAGCCCGAUCCCGUCUGAUCUCGGAAGCUAAGCAGGGCCGGGCCUGGUUAGUACUUGGAUGGGAGACCGUCUAGGAAGACCAGGUGCUAUAGGCG
rfam:Pteropus alecto contig28775, whole genome shotgun sequence.